UUUCACCGAGCCCAGCCACAGCGGAUCGCCCGUGCGCCGGCGGCCGUAGGUCGCCAUCAGCGCGUGCGCCUC
rnacentral:antisense_RNA from 1 species